rnacentral:lncRNA from 1 species
AAACUGACUUAUGCUCGUCAUUUUUAAAGCAGCAAGCAUUUUAAAGAAAUUUUCAAUAAUAUAGACCUUCAUACAUUUAUAAUGAGUUACAUCUAACAAUGUACAAAAGCUUGGUUUUGGUAGCGACUUCGAUAGGAACAGAUAAGUAUAGGUUUUGGCUGCUUUAUUGAAAAUUAUGAAGAAAUUCAAAAAAUCUAUUAGAUCAAAUUAAGAAAAGUAAAACAAUAAAGAAAUAUUUUCAUCAUGAAAAAUAAAUUGGAUUAUUAGAUUUUGCACUAUAUUGUUUUGGAUUAUUAAAUGUAUCGUUUUGGUAAUUUUGCAGUUAGCAAUUGAAAAAUUGUUUUUUGAAAAUAAAAUGUUCGAAAUAUCAUGUUUAUAGUGUAUUAUAUACUUUACAAUUUAAGACAUGAUAAUAGUGAUGCCUACAAAAUCUGAUCUUUAAGAUAACCAGACCUAUGCCAAAAAAAAACCCUUCCCUCAUAAUCUCUUUGGAGUCUUGCAUUUCGGUGCUUCUAAAUCUUCUCAAAACUUGCAAAGGCUGUGUCUAGUCUGAAGAAAAUGCUGUGGCAUUUAUGGAAAUGAAGAUACACUAUAAAUUGGAACAAGACACCUAUAUGUACGUUAAAGUUUGGGCCAUAAGUUCGACUUGUUCAAAACUUUAAAGCUAAGCCUAGUUUCAGAUUGGUUGUGGUUGAAAUUGGGAGUUCUGGAUGAGACCUCAAACCAUGCAUAUACAUAGUUGGACAUGGGGUUCCAUGCUUCUUGCUGAAAGGAUUUUUAUGAAACUGAACUUUAUUUUUCAGUGUAAAUUUGUCUUUGAUGGUGUAAGCUGGGCUUGAAGUUUUAAGCAUUAUCAGAUUUUACAACCUACAUGAGUUGCAUAUCAAUUCAUUUUGUAGUUAGACCUGUUACAAAUCAGUUAUCUAUUUCAUUUUACCAACUUUAUUUUAUUUUUUAGUAUUUUUGUUGGGACUUAUCCUAAGCAUUGAAAAAUGAAGUAUUAAACUUAUGAGCAAUGCAAAUUAUGGGAGAGGUUUUUGGAAUAAAAAAGAAGAGACUGGUUACAAAGCACUCAAAUAAGUGAUCAGUAAAGAUCUCGAGGAGCCAAUAUUGGUUUCAUACCAGGCACUAUAUCAAUUGACGAUAAUUUUCCACGUAGACACGUAUGAAGAGAGAGAAAAAAGUGCUCUCCAGUUUUGGUGUAAAUAUAACAUAUUCUCAAACAACUUGAUAUAUAAUUUGAUGGGUAGUAAGGAUAUGGGUGGGUGGUGACGGAUGCAUUGACUACCAAAAAGAUGUAGGUGGGUGUGGUGACAGAUGUGAGAUGUUGUUCUAGUGGAAAAGAAGCAAUCUCUUCUAUCAAUUGCUUGAUGCCUAUGGAUAUGGGUCAAAAACUUAAUUAAGUUAACUUCCUUUAAUAACUGGAUGGCCCAUUCACCUCAGAAAAAAAGGGACUAAAUAAGGGAUCCUGCUGUAAUUGUGAUAGGUAGUUCUUCCUGGUUCUUGAGGUGUAUAUUGGAUGCUUUUAUCAUGAAAAUCUUAACUAUCUAAACUUGUUUGGAAAAUUGACAUGUCAUUAAACCUGAUAAUUGAUUUUUAUGAAAAACAACUACCUCCCUUUUUUUUUCGUAAAAUCUGUUUCACACAUAACCAGGUCCUGUGGAUAUCUGUUUUUAUAAGACCCACAGAGAAUUAAACAGCCUUUGGACAAUGGUUGUCUUAAGG